GGAUGUUUCAACAUCACCAAGUGGAAAACCAAUGAGUAUGUGCUAUUGUCAGAACCCAAAGACUGGCUAUGUUCUGUGGUAACGGUCCCUUAUGUGACUGCUUUAUUUACCCCUGCUGUCAAAUUGAACAUUUUCAGAGUAAUUACAUUCUGCUUGUGUGAAUAUUUGUGUGUACUCUCUGUGUUUUGAAGAAAAAAAAGUCCAAAAAAAUUAUUUCACAAUAACAUUGCAUCAUUAGAAGGUACAGUUGAAGUUUGAUAUCUCGGACACUGAUAUCUCGAAUACUCAGAUAUUUUGAAGUUUUUAAACAGUCCCAGUUUGACUGUAUAUAUACAUAAAAAUUUUACCAUGUUCCUAUAAUAUAUUAUCUGUGAAUUGGUUUUUACCUUCAUAUGGUAAUGUUUAUGUUUUGCCAAAUUUUCUGUAAAUUCUGUAUGUAAUUGUGUCAAUUUGCUACAGUGUACAAAUGUGUUCAAAAUAUGCUUUAUAAAAUUUUGUGCUACACAUGUACCAAUAUUUAUACAAAUUAGAAUUAUGAUGUGUACCUCUAGUUGGAGAUAGUGAAAUUUCCAAUCUUUGUUAUGGCUCUGGUUCUGAGAUUUUUCUGGCAGAUCAAAUAUUAAAAAAGCCAGGGUAAUCAAGGUAUUUGGACUAAAAUGACCUGUUUUUCAUUGGAGAGAGAGAGAGCGAGAGAGAAAGAGAGAGAGAGAUUGCAUUUAUUUAUAUCAAAGAAGGCUUGGUAAAUAACAGCCAUCAAAAAAUACAUGGCAUCAAAAAUUGACAGAACCAACUCCUUCAAUCAGAUUGCCACCAAUCUCACAAAUGGGACAUGAUGGUCUGUCUGAGAUACAAUAUUCCAAAUGGGACAUAAAUUAAAGUGCAAAAAAAUAAUUUUUUUUUGUUUGAGAAAAAUAAUAGAUGAAAUAUAACAACUUUUGUGUAUUGUAACAAACUUUUACAGAUCUUGAUCCCUCAGUAUAUUAAAAACUUCUUGGGGAUCAAUCUGACAAACUAAAGGGCUUUAAGGCUUACAGAAAAACUUGCUAACCAAAUACUGUUGCAUUAAAUAUGAAUUAAUGCAGAUUUAUUUUUAGAAUAUUUCAAAUUUAUAUCCCUUUUAGGGUAUUAUAUCCCAAACAAGCUACUGUGUCCCAUUUGGAAGAUUUGUCCCAAUCUGUUAAUAUCAAGUCAUUAGGUAUAUCAAUUACCUCAAAAACAUAUAUUAUGUAGCAAUCAAACCCACUGUUAUAUUUUUAUAUAGUUUAUGCUGCUAGUUGUACAUUUAUUGUUGGCUAUUUAUACAGAUCUGUUAAACAUGUAUAACAUUUCUACAUGUAGUAUGUUAUCAAUUUUCCUUUAAGCUCUUAUGCUGUUCUUAUAAACUGUACGUGUCCUCCUCACAACUGUCAAAGCCCAAUAUGCUUUCAGUACUUUAAAAAGUUAUUGUAAAUAAAGACUUACAAAAAA
rnacentral:misc_RNA from 1 species